rnacentral:rRNA from 1 species
UACGGGGGGGGGCAAGCGUUGUUCGGAAUUACUGGGCGUAAAGGGCUCGUAGGUGGCCAACUAAGUCAGACGUGAAAAUCCCUCGGCUCAACCGAGGAACUGCGUCCGAUACUGGCAGGCUGGAAUCCGGGAGAGGGAUGUGGAAUUCCAGGUGUAGCGGUGAAAUGCGUAGAUAUCUGGAGGAACACCGGUGGCGAAGGCGGCAUCCUGGACCGGUAUUGACGCUGAGGCGCGAAAGCUAGGGGAGCAAACGGG